UUUGGAACGCUGUUCACGUGUGCAAUUUCAUUCGCGAAGAAACAGCUGCCGACACGUAUGGAAAACCCUUCGUCAACAAAAAGCUCACUAUCAGUUGAGGACAACUCAGAGGCAUCCUGUUCUUUCACUACAGGAGAAAAUGAUGAGAACCCUCGAAAGAGAAAAGCGGUGGAUGAAGAACCUGAGCCCCAGGCUGAGGAGCCACCGGCAAAAAAGAGGACAAAGACAGAAACAAAGUUUGAGAAGAGGCUGGCAAAAUCACGCCCUGAAGGAAGAGUCAACCCUUUCAGAUUAGUUAAGCAUUACAUUAUUGGAGAGAUGUUGGGAAAUGGAUCCUUUGGUAACGUCUAUGCAGCCGAUCGGAAAUCAGAUGGGAAAAAGGUGGCAAUUAAGUGUGUUCUAAAGAAAGUGUUGGACUAUAUAACCCUUCCAGGUAGCAAUGACAUUCUUCCUCUUGAGGUGGCACUGUUGAACCUUGUGUGCAAGCCACCUCGCUGCCCCUAUGUUAUAAGUCUGUUGGAGUGGUUUGAGACGCCCGCAGACGUGAUCUACAUCCUGGAGCGGCCUGACAACUGCACUGACCUCUAUAAGUACUGUCAAAAAUUACAGUACAGAAUGCCUGAAGCUCAUGUUAAACAAAUCAUGCAGCAAGUAGUUCAGGCUACAUGUCACUGCAAGGACCGUGGUGUCUUCCACAGAGACAUUCAAUUAAGCAACGUUCUCCUCAACACCCAGACCUUGGAAGUAAAGCUAACUGAUUUUGGCCUUGGUUGCCUGCGUCAGGGCUUCCUUUAUUCAGAUUGUAGAGUUAUCUACCCAUCAAGAUGGAUCUCACUUAAUGAGAGCAUGCAGGAAUUAAGCAUUGUCAAGCAGCUGGGUUAUUUCUUACAUUGCCUGUCAGGUGGAAAAUGGUGUCCUGGAAAGCUGAUAUUUUCCAAGAAUUUGUCUGAAGCAUGCUGCAGUCUCAUAAAAUGGUGUUUAGAUAAGGAGCCUGGAAAACGGCCAACCCUCGAGCAGCUCCUCACUCAUGAAUGGUUCUGAAGCCAGCUGUUCAAAAGGGAAAAAAACAAAGAAAAUGCAGCUAAGGUUGGUGAGAAUCUCUUCAGUAUGUUUAUACAGGUCAGCGUAGCAGAUUCAACAGCAAACUGUGCAAGGUGCAGCAAAGGGGAAAACCACUUGACCUGGUUUGGGGUUUGUGACACACCCUCCUGAGUAAGCAAUACAGAGGAUCAAUCGAACCCAGCGGAAACUAGAUGGAAGAGUGGAGACCACCAUGAAGCCUCAGCAUGCACAUAAGUGCUGUCCUGUUAAAUAAAAUAAGUGCACAGUAUAGGCUAAGGGAGACCCACUCAGCCAACACUAGGUUUGGUAAAAGGCUACACAGAUUGGGAGCUUUUUUCUACAUUCGUAAUAUUUGUACUGUUGUGCACUUUUAAAAUUCUUUAUUAUUAUUAUUACUAUUAUUAUUAUUAUUCAUUCAUUCAUUAAAUAAUUUUCUACCACUUUCCCAAACUUAUUAAUAUUAUUAUAAGUUCGGAUAAGUGGUAGAAAACUAAUGAAUGAAUUAAUAUUAAUAAUAAUAAUAAUGUGAUGCAAAUUUCUACAUUUUCUGUACAUUUUGCUGUGAAUUGGAUGAACUCAAAACAAUUUAGCAAUUUUCACUUAGUCCAUUUUUUUUUGGGAAAUCACCAAAAUAUCUAAUCAUAUUAGAAGGUGGAAAAAAAUCUACCUACUUGUAAAUACAGGAGUUAUGACCAAGCAUUUAAUAUUGUUUGUACCAAACCUUUCACUACCUCAUCAGUACGAGUUAAUCUGGCUUUAUUCAAGCCGAGGGAACGUCGGAUGCUGCGAGACUGAAGUGUGUUCACGUGUGAUUUUUGGUAUCGGAAGCAUCUUUGAUUUUAUUAAAUCAUCUGGACACAAGACAAUCACAAAUGGGAAGGAAACUAAGAAUUUAUUUAUCAAGUGCAAUGCUUAAAAAAUAAAAACACUCAAUGUACUGUA